UACGAAGGGGGCUAGCGUUGCUCGGAAUGACUGGGCGUAAAGGGCGCGUAGGCGGCGGACACAGUCAGAUGUGAAAUUCCCGGGCUCAACCUGGGGGCUGCAUUUGAUACGUGUUUGCUUGAGUGGGGAAGAGGGUCGUGGAAUUCCCAGUGUAGAGGUGAAAUUCGUAGAUAUUGGGAAGAACACCGGUGGCGAAGGCGGCGACCUGGUCCUUGACUGACGCUGAGGCGCGAAAGCGUGGGGGAGCAAACAGG
rnacentral:rRNA from 1 species